rnacentral:rRNA from 1 species
ACGCUCGACACCUACUGGAGGCAGCAGUAGGGAAUCUUCCACAAUGGACGCAAGUCUGAUGGAGCAACGCCGCGUGAGUGAAGAAGGUUUUCGGAUCGUAAAGCUCUGUUGUUGGUGAAGAAGGAUAGAGGUAGUAACUGGCCUUUAUUUGACGGUAAUCAACCAGAAAGUCACGGCUAACUACGUGUCAGCAGCCGCGGUAAUCUGAGCGGGCUGGCAAGGC